rnacentral:lncRNA from 1 species
GAGAUGUGCACCCCACAUCUCUCUGCUCGAGUCCCGGUCUGCAAGAUGGGUGCUUGUCCGUGCGCCCCACCCCACCCCCACGCCCGAGGCCGGGUGCGGCACCUCCGCCCGCUAGCCGCUCCUGCAUUAAAAUUUCAUGGGCGCUGCAGUAAACGCGAAGACGAUGCCGGCUGCGCUGGGGGGCCGUAGGGAGGGAGGCUGCGGACCAGAGCGGGGAGGAGUUUGCGAGGGGAGGCGCUUGGGAGGACUCCCCCAGUUCUGUUAAGAGCUGGGCACAAAGAGCCCUUUGCACUCCAGCCGCAGGAGCGAAGAGGAGCCGAGCUAGAUGCACAUGGGCGUGGGGACUUCCGUACACACCAACCCACAAGUCCUGGGGCGUCCAGCGCAGCCUCAAACCCAGGGCAUCUCCGCACUCUUAUUGCGACACCGCUCUGGAUGCUGUUUGCAUAUCUCUCUCUGGGGAGUCACUGCUUUGGCACGACAGUCCCGCGAGGUGCUGGAGUCCUGUCUGUCCUCAUCACACGGACAUGGCUGACCUGUCUCAGUGGCAGAAGAGCGGAGGGAUUUGGAAAAAGACGCCGCUACCCUGCAAAGCAGCCUUGCAGAUAAGUAUCAUUUCACCAGCCCGCCUGCUCUCUGCUGGUGCGUGUGAGAAAGGUUCAGCUCUGGAACCCGGGACGGGAGGGUGGAUGGGCUCAUCCUGUGACUCUGGCUCUUGAAGAUGCCAUUGGUCAGCUUGAAC